UCUCUCCUGCGGUGUUCGACAGUGGCCUGAUAGGUCUCUCGACCCUUAAUCGCGCUUUCGGGAUCGCGUACUGUUGGCAGUUUGUGCACGACCGCGCCUGACCACAUGGUCGGGACGGGAAGCCUGCUCUGCCGCGUUUGGUCCCACCUGAUGCUCCUGGUCUGUGAGCAGCAGGCCGCACCGGCACAGGCGGGAGAGAC
rnacentral:other from 1 species